CGCUGGCGGCGCGCAUAACACAUGCAAGUCGAGCGAGGGCUCAUUUCCCGCAAGGGAGAUGGGUUCCUAGCGGCGAACGGGUGAGUAACACGUGGGCAACCUUUCCUAUCGCGGGGGAUAACAGCGGGAAACCGCUGCUAAUACCGCAUGUCGUCAUCGGUCGCAUGGCCGGUGAAAAAAGCAGCAAUGCACGAUGGGGUGGGCCCGCGGCCUAUCAGCUAGUCGGUGGGGUAACGGCCUACCGAGGCGAUGACGGGUAGCUGGUCUGAGAGGACGACCAGCCACACGGGGACUGAGACACGGCCCCGACUCCUACGGGAGGCAGCAGUGAGGAAUCUUCCGCAAUGGGCGGAAGCCUGACGGAGUGACGCCGCGUGUGGGAUGAAGUCCUUCGGGAUGUAAACCACUGUUGGAGGGGAAGACAACUGACGGUACCCUCCGAGAAAGCCCCGGCUAACUACGUGCCAGCAGCCGCGGUAAUACGUAGGGGGCUAGCGUUAUCCAGAAUUACUGGGCGUAAAGCGCGUGUAGGCGGCUGGUUAAGUGUGAUGUGAAAUCUUCGGGCUCAACCCGAAAACUGCAUUGCAAACUGGCCUGNCUAGAGU
rnacentral:rRNA from 1 species